rnacentral:rRNA from 1 species
UACGUAGGGGGCAAGCGUUUGUCCGGAAUCAUUGGGCGUAAAGCGCGUGUAGGCGGUUACGUAAGUCUGCUGUGAAAGUCGGAGGCUCAACCUUCGAAAGCCGGUGGAUACUGCGUGACUAGAGUACGGAAGAGGAGAGUGGAAUUCCUGGUGUAGCGGUGAAAUGCGCAGAUAUCAGGAGGAACACCAACGGCGAAGGCAGCUCUCUGGGACGUUACUGACGCUGAGACGCGAAAGCGUGGGGAGCAAACAGG